GUACAUCACCUACCCUCCAAUGUGCAAACAUUGAGGUUAUCGACUGUCAGAACUUUCUAAACUGUUUGCAGCGCGGUGCUCCACAGUUCUAUAAUCAACAUGGUUAUUAACACCUGAUCUGUGCCCGCACUCCUGCAGUAGACAUAUCUUUAGGUGACUCUGGUGGAGGAUUGGUGUACAAUAACAUGAUUUACGGGGCAAUUUCUUUCACUGGGCAUUCCAAAACAGCAUGUGCUCAACCAGCUGCAUUUAUGAACAUCUGCCAUCAGCCCUACUUGACAUGGAUCAAAGGGAUUCUUGCAAGACCAUAGACAAGUCUAAUGAUUGGUUAAUGAGCAAAUGUCCUGUAAUCCAUGAGGCAUUUAACUCUAAUUUAGAGAACAGGUUUCUCUUCAUUUCAGAAAAUAAAUAUAUUAUUGAUUGGUUUUUAAUUGAAAGUUCAACAAUUAAUUUGACAUUUGUUGGACUUGAGACUAGUUUUCUGAUUUACAGAUGUUUCAAUUCUAACAGUUUCAAGUAUUGUGUAGAAGACAACUUUUCUACAAUCAUUUAGAUUUAGCCUGUAAUUGGACAGUCAUUGUAUGGAAAAUACAAAGAGGCAUAAACAGUUAUCUGCUUGUCGUUUAACAUCCCUGUUUAUUCAAAACAUUAAGACCCAUCUUAUACAAAGUUUUUCAAAUUCAAAUAAAUUGAAGAUGACUCAAAACUUUUGUUGUUAUGUUGAAUUGAUUUACGCUGUCAAAGAAAAUAAGACAUAUGUAUACAUCUCGAUUUUGAUUACAGGGUCAUAUAAUCAUCCUCAAAUCAAAACUUAUCCCCCUAACACACACACACACACACACACACACACACACUCACACACACACACACACACACACACACACACACACACACUCACACACACACACACACACACACACACACACACACACACUCACACACACACACACACACACACACACACACACACACACUCACACACACACACACACACACACACACACACACAUGUACAGAAAUAAAGUUGACAGAAGGUUGCUGACUGGGACAGAUAAGAACUGUUUAUCUUGUAUUGUGACUCUGAAAGACAGACACCAACUUUGCACCUUUAUCUCAGAGCCAUCACUCACUUUCUGUUCCUCUGCUUCCUCCAAACACACAGUUUUUCAUCCCGUCACACUUAAGUAUUCAAAAAAUCUCAGGCAUCCAGA